CCGUGGGGGCAACUCUGCGGGGGAAGUGGCGAAAGGGGCAGUAAGGCGUGGGUAACUUGCCUUGGAGUUCGGGAUAGCCUUCCUAACGGAAGGGUAAGACCGAAUGCCGUAGCGGGGUGGCAUCAUCUUGCUACGAAAGGUUACGCUCCGAGAGGGGCCCACGUAGUAUUAGCUAGUUGGUGAGGUAACGGCUCACCAAGGCAAAGAUGCUUAGCAGGUGUGAGAGCACGACCUGCGCCACUGGCACUGGGACACUGGCCAGACUCUUACGGGAGGCUGCAGUCGAGGAUCUUCGGCAAUGGGCGAAAGCCUGACCGAGCGACGCCGCGUGUGCGAUGAAGGCCUUCGGG
rnacentral:rRNA from 1 species